rnacentral:sRNA from 1 species
CUUGGUCAUUUAGAGGAAGUAAAAGUCGUAACAAGGUCUCCGUAGGUGAACCUGCGGAGGGAUCAUUACAAGAACGCCCGGGCUUCGGCCUGGUUAUUCAUAACCCUUUGUUGUCCGACUCUGUUGCCUCCGGGGCGACCCUGCCUUCGGGCGGGGGCUCCGGGUGGACACUUCAAACUCUUGCGUAACUUUGCAGUCUGAGUAAACUUAAUUAAUAAAUUAAAACUUUUAACAACGGAUCUCUUGGUUCUGGCAUCGAUGAAGAACGCAGCGAAAUGCGAUAAGUAAUGUGAAUUGCAGAAUUCAGUGAAUCAUCGAAUCUUUGAACGCACAUUGCGCCCCCUGGUAUUCCGGGGGGCAUGCCUGUUCGAGCGUCAUUUCACCACUCAAGCCUCGCUUGGUAUUGGGCAACGCGGUCCGCCGCGUGCCUCAAAUCGUCCGGCUGGGUCUUCUGUCCCCUAAGCGUUGUGGAAACUAUUCGCUAAAGGGUGUUCGGGAGGCUACGCCGUAAAACAACCCCAUUUCUAAGGUUGACCUCGGAUCAGGUAGGGAUACCCGCUGAACUUAAGCAUAUCAAUAAGCGGAGGAAAAGAAACCAACCGGGAUUGCCUCAGUAACGGCGAGUGAAGCGGCAAGAGCUCAAAUUUGAAAGCUGGCUCCUUCGGGGUCCGCAUUGUAAUUUGCAGAGGAUGCUUCGGGUGCGGCCCCUGUCUAAGUGCCCUGGAACGGGCCGUCAGAGAGGGUGAGAAUCCCGUCUGGGAUGGGGUGUCCGCGCCCGUGUGAAGCUCCUUCGACGAGUCGAGUUGUUUGGGAAU